rnacentral:rRNA from 1 species
UACGAAGGGGGCUAGCGUUGUUCGGAAUUACUGGGCGUAAAGCGCGCGUAGGCGGUUUUGCAAGCCAGAGGUGAAAUGCCUGAGCUCAACUCAGGAAUGGCCUUUGGGACUGCGAGGCUUUGAGGACUGGAGAGGUGAGUGGAAUUCCCAGUGUAGAGGUGAAAUUCGUAGAUAUUGGGAAGAACACCGGUGGCGAAGGCGGCUCACUGGCCAGUUCUGACGCUGCAGCGCGAA